GCUUUCUGUCCAUGGAGAUGAGAAGUCAGCCAAGAUCCUACUGAUGGCUAAGUGAAGCAGUUGACUUAGGCAAAUCUGCUCAUUGGUGAUAAGAUUCAGUUUCCUACCCUGCAGAAGUCGAGACUAGAAACACUAGUCCAACCGUGCUUAAGUUGGCAGAUUCAGCAAUGCGAUAAUGAAGGAUCUAAUCAUAAACUGUCCAAGAAUCUUGUAUAUGAGGACCCUUACUGUGAUCAAGCAACUGACACCAUCUAUUGUAUCUCAUGGAGUUGGAGAGGGAAUCAAGGCUUUUCUUUGAUAUCAUGUAUUUCGAAGAAUGUAUGAGCAAUGGAGACUGG